GACGAACGCUGGCGGCGUGCUUAACACAUGCAAGUCGAACGGAAAGGCCCUGCUUUUGUGGGGUGCUCGAGUGGCGAACGGGUGAGUAACACGUGAGUAACCUGCCCUUGACUUUGGGAUAACUUCAGGAAACUGGGGCUAAUACCGGAUAGGAGCUCCUGCUGCAUGGUGGGGGUUGGAAAGUUUCGGCGGUUGGGGAUGGACUCGCGGCUUAUCAGCUUGUUGGUGGGGUAGUGGCUUACCAAGGCUUUGACGGGUAGCCGGCCUGCGAGGGUGACCGGCCACAUUGGGACUGCGAUACGGCCCAGACUCCUACGGGAGGCAGCAGUGGGGAGUAUUGCACAAUGGGCGGAAGCCUGAUGCAGCAACGCCGCGUGCGGGAUGACGGCCUUCGGGUUGUAAACCGCUUUCGCCUGUGACGAAGCGUGAGUGACGGUAAUGGGUAAAGAAGCACCGGCUAACUACGUG
rnacentral:rRNA from 1 species